AAACAUUCAUUGAAAGUCAAAGCACAUAUAUAUAUAUAUUCAAAAAGUAACUGAAUACAUAGAUGUUUCAAUACAUAUGAGUUAAUACAAAAGUCAUGGAUAGAAACUAUCCAAGAGUCAAUCAGCUAACAAAGUACAAAGGCCAAAAGAUAGAUCCUAGACUUAGAAGUCUAACUAAUCUAGAUCUAAUAGAUAUCAUGGCU
rnacentral:lncRNA from 1 species